GAGGGAGAAGCAGGCUCACUGCAGGGAGCCCAAUGCGGGACUCAAUCCCGGGACCCCAGGAUCAUGCCCUGAGACGAAGGCAGACGCUCAAGCACUGAGGCACCAGGCGUCCCUACGGAGCACUCUUAGAACGUCUGCCGAGGGCCCUCCGGGCGCCCUCACUGUGCCUCUGCCCAGCCUUUGCUUCAUCUCCUUGUCACAACCUGAGAAGUGGGUAUCAGGGUCAUUGAUGCUCCGGGCGCAGACACGAAAGCCAGUGCUCAGGAUCUCAACGACAGUACGUGGCCGGGCCAGGACGAGAACGCGGGUCGUCCAGGAGCCCGCGGCCCCCCGGAGCCCCCCGGAGCCCCCCGGAGCCCCCCGGCGGGGCACAUCCAGCACGUGCCUCCCCGUCCAGCGGAGCUCCAGGAGCCAGAGCGCGUCGUCCAAAAAAGUUGGAUAUAAGAAGUGGUCCCGCACCUGAACAUGUACAAACCCGACAAAGAUGCCCAGAACCAGGAGCAGCAUAAGCUGUCGGGACUCGAGGAUGGGAAAACGAGAGCUUUCCUCCGGGAGGCUUUUCCAGAAGAGAGAGGCGAGGAAAGCAGCUAGGUGCUUCAGCUACGAGGAAUAAUCCCCUCCACCCAAGAAGGGAGCGCAUCUGCGGCCCUCCAGGGAAGGAGCCGGCUCUGUGACCCGCCCCCCUCACCUGCGUUCUGGAAGUUCUCAGGCCUCACCUCACUCCUUCCUGCUGCAACAUCGGGCCCAGUUUCUCGAGGCCUCGGAAGGCACCUGCUCGCUGACCUGGCCUGGAAAGGGGGGAGGCCGCCUGCGCUCCCCACGGCCCUCUCCUGGCCCCCGACUUGGCCCAUCCAUGAUCUCCACGGUGGCAUGAGAGCCCAGGGAGCUGUGCCAGCAGGAGCUUGUGGGCAGGGAGGGGGCAGAGAGAGCAGAAGACCAGCAGGAAGAUGUUGGGGGAAGAUGUGGACAGUGGACGGGGAAGGACACGCAGAUCCCACCUACGGUCUCGCUUUUUUAAAGUCUAGGCUGAUGAUUUCUAGAUGCAGAGGAAGACGAUUCUAAGGCUUGCGGCACUUCCUUUUCUUUAUUCAAAUAAUACAAAUUCAUUGUUGAAAAAUUUAACACAAUAUAGGGAAUAAAAUAAAAUUAGGAACAGUA